GCAUGGUAACAUCACUUCUUCCUCAGGGGUGGAGUACAAGUCACAGAGCCUCCUUCAGGGUGGUGGCUAGCUACAUUCUCUGAGUAGUAGAGGAAGUAGAACAACCUGUGGUGCCAACUGAUACACCUGGUCCUGGCACCUUAUUAGCAGUGCCACCUCCCAUUGAGGACUACUAAUUCUCUUUGUUCCUGACUAUGAUGUGUUGCUGGGAUGAUGAAAGCAAUACACGAGGCUGUUUCCUUGCCUCUGAAGAAUUUUGAAAAGAAGGGCAGGGAUGGGUACUGUCAUUCUCAGGAAACUGGCUCUCAGCUGUCUGUCAAAAUGGAGGGUUCUUUCAAGCAGCAAUUUCACCAUGAAACCCUUUUCGUCUAUAAGGAUCAGAAUACUCUUACAGGAAGUGGAAUUCAAGAGUACUCUUCAAAGCACCUUCCAGUCUUUCUUAUCCAUCCUUAGCUUUUGAAGAAUGUUAAGGACCCUGCUGCGGCUUUGAAUUUUCUCCAGGUGCACUUCUGACCCCGAGACAUGGGUCUCACCUGGUUUUGAUCACCCAGGUGGUAAAGAAGUUGGUUAGAGAGAGAAAACUAAUAUCCCAGCCCUGUUCCAACUCUGAUUUAUGUGCUAGGAUAUUUCCUGAUGUCCCAGCCUGCUACUCAGUAGUCUUGGGCAUGAUAUAAAGAAAAUGGGUAGAAUUGGAUAGCUCCAGAUUUAGGUGAAAGAAACUUUAAGAUGUAAAUAAUGCCAGGAAAGGUCAAGAAUAGAAAUAGCUAAAGAUAUGAAAGGCUGAAAGACUGAUGGCCAAGAAUUAUAAUUUCAAGUACCUACUUUUGAUCUCCUAACAUGAGAAUUUGUAUUAAAUUUUGAAGUUUUGACACAUGGUUUCCUGUCAUGAUGCUAAGAUUACACAUGACCUUAAGUAUUAUUUGAUAGUGAUGCUCUAAUCUAUUUGAAUAGAUACAGAUUCUAUAGGUUGCAGAUUCUGGCAUGGGUAAUAUAAAACCAUUUUUUAAAGAAGACUUUCAAUAUUGAUUAAUUUCUAUAUUGACUUUCUAUUCCACUUGGUAGUAGAAAUAUCAUUAUAGUUCCACAUAGACAUCCUCAAUUAGGGUUUUAUAGCCUGUUCCAGAUAUCCUAGGCCAAUUCUUUCCUCUCCUCUGUGGUAGGCAGAAUUCUAAGAGAGAUCCUACUGUUCCUGCCCUCUACAGUUCAUAUGCCUUCAGGUAACUCAAUCAAGCACUAAUGUAGGUACUGCUGUGAGUUAAUUUUGAAGAAAUAAUUAGGGUCCCAAAUGAGUUGCCUUUAAGAAAGGGAGAUUAUCUGGGUGAGUCUGACCUGAUAACAUGGGCCCUUUAAAUCUGGGUUCAGAGAUCAGAGACCAAGAAGUCGGAGAGAUUAGAAGCUUGAGAAAGAUUUGAUGUGAGGGAGAUGCCUCAAACUGAAGAUGGAAAGGAAUUGAAAGCAGUCUCUAGGAGCUGAGAGGAACUCCUGGCUAAUAGCUGGCUGGGGACAAGGACCUCAGUCCUACAGGCAAAAAGAACUGAUUCUGUCGACUUCAUGAGCUAGGAAGUAGAUUUUUCCUAAGCCUCUAGACAAGAACUCAGUUUAGCAGACACCUUAAUUUCAGCCUUGUGUUACCCUGAGUAGAGAACUCAGGGUGGCCACUCUGGACUUUGACCCACAGAACUGUGGACUCAUAGGUGUUAAGUUCCCUAAAUUCAUGGUAACUUGGUUACUUGGUUGGCUUCACAGCAAAAUCUAACUAAGACACUCUUCUUUUUUUUUUUUUUUUUUUUUUUUUUUGAAGGUUGUGCAAGAACUCUAAUAGGCAACAGAAUGUCAAUGUCCUGGUGGGGAGAGAGGUCAGGAAAGAAUCCGAGGUACUAGGUUGCAAUCAGUCUCAGAUAGAGACCCACUGCUGCACCAUCAUCUCCUCCUCAUUCCUAUCUGCAGUCAGCUGGCCUUCCACACUAGCCUUUGUUGUAUACUCACAGUCCUGUCUCUUUUCUAGUCCAUGCUGGUAAAUGCUGCUGUAUCCCUCUGUCCAUAUCACUUGUCUCUCCAGGCUGAGCCCAUGGAGUCUCUCUGAGGCUAUCCUCAGGUUGAGAUUCCUCAAUCCUGUAGGUAUUUCUAAUUCAUUAUUCCCUAGCCUCUGGACGUGGGCUUUUUCUACAAGGCUGGAAAAAUUCCUGGAGCUAGAGCCUUAUUAGAGAAAAUAGGAAUUGUCCUUUGUGCUUUCAAAUUUCUGUAUUUAUUUGAGCUUCUUCUAUCAUGUUUAGCUUUCCAUUUCUCUAACCCCCAUACCAGAGGAUUCACUCAAGAGAGGAUCAGGAUAUAAAUUUGCUUUUCUAGAGAUCAUCCUUAACAUCCAGUUCUAUGGCUUUCCUUCUCAACUUUCCACUUUUCAAAACAAUUCUAUAUCCCCUUGAAUGGGGUAAGACCUGUACAGCAAGCAUUGUUACAGUUUUAUUUGUCUCAUACCUGGAUUUGGGGAUAUUAAAUUGAAAGCCAAUGAUUUGACUCAUUUGUUUUUUGGUUUUGCUCUGACAACUCCAUCCUAAGAUAAUAAGUGUUGAAUAAAGAUAAUGGACUUCAGGGAAGAAACA
rnacentral:lncRNA from 1 species